AUAGGUUAAUGAGGCGAACCGGGGGAACUGAAACAUCUAAGUACCCCGAGGAAAAGAAAUCAACCGAGAUUCCCCCAGUAGCGGCGAGCGAACGGGGAGGAGCCCAGAGCCUGAAUCAGUGUGUGUGUUAGUGGAAGCGUCUGGAAAGGCGCGCGAUACAGGGUGACAGCCCCGUACACAAAAAUGCACAUAUUGUGAGCUCGAUGAGUAGGGCGGGACACGUGGUAUCCUGUCUGAAUAUGGGGGGACCAUCCUCCAAGGCUAAAUACUCCUGACUGACCGAUAGUGAACCAGUACCGUGAGGGAAAGGCGAAAAGAACCCCGGCGAGGGGAGUGAAAAAGAACCUGAAACCGUGUACGUACAAGCAGUGGGAGCCUCUUAAUGGGGUGACUGCGUACCUUUUGUAUAAUGGGUCAGCGACUUAUAUUCUGUAGCAAGGUUAACCGAAUAGGGGAGCCGAAGGGAAACCGAGUCUUAACUGGGCGUUAAGUUGCAGGGUAUAGACCCGAAACCCGGUGAUCUAGCCAUGGGCAGGUUGAAGGUUGGGUAACACUAACUGGAGGACCGAACCGACUAAUGUUGAAAAAUUAGCGGAUGACUUGUGGCUGGGGGUGAAAGGCCAAUCAAACCGGGAGAUAGCUGGUUCUCCCCGAAAGCUAUUUAGGUAGCGCCUCGUGAAUUCAUCUCCGGGGGUAGAGCACUGUUUCGGCAAGGGGGUCAUCCCGACUUACCAACCCGAUGCAAACUGCGAAUACCGGAGAAUGUUAUCACGGGAGACACACGGCGGGUGCUAACGUCCGUCGUGAAGAGGGAAACAACCCAGACCGCCAGCUAAGGUCCCAA
rnacentral:rRNA from 1 species